rnacentral:rRNA from 1 species
GAUGAACGCUGGCGGCGUGCCUAAUACAUGCAAGUCGAGCGAACAGACGAGGAGCUUGCUCCUCUGACGUUAGCGGCGGACGGGUGAGUAACACGUGGAUAACCUCCCUAUAAGACUGGGAUAACUUCGGGAAACCGGAGCUAAUACCGGAUAAUAUAUUGCACCGCAUGGUUCAAUAGUGAAAGACGGUCUUGCUGUCACUUAUAGAUGUAUCCGCGCCGCAUUAGCUAGUUGGUAAGGUAACGGCUUACCAAGGCAACGAUGCGUAGCCGACCUGAGAGAGUGAUCGGCCACACUGGAACUGAGACACGGUCCAGACUCCUACGGGGAGCAGCAGUAGGGAAUCUUCCGCAAUGGGCGAAAGCCUGACGGAGCAACGCCGCGUGAGUGAUGAAGGUCUUCGGAUCGUAAAACUCUGUUAUUAGGGAAGAACAAAUGUGUAAGUAACUGUGCACGUCUUGACGGUACCUGAUCAGAAAGCCACGGCUAACUACGUG